AGAGUUUGAUCCUGGCUCAGAACGAACGCUGGCGGCGCGCCUAAUACAUGCAAGUCGAACGAGAAUGUGUAGCAAUACACAUGUAAAGUGGCGAACGGGUGAGGAUUACAUGGGUAACCUACCCUCGAGUGGGGAAUAACUAGCCGAAAGGUUAGCUAAUACCGCGUACGCUUCCCGGACUGCGGUUCGGGAAGGAAAGCGAUACCGUGGGUAUCGCGCUCUUGGAUGGGCUCAUGCCCUAUCAGCUUGUUGGUGAGGUAACGGCUCACCAAGGCUUCGACGGGUAGCUGAUCUGAGAGGAUGAUCAGCCACGCUGGCGCUGC
rnacentral:rRNA from 1 species